GAUGAACGCUAGCUACAGGCUUAACACAUGCAAGUCGAGGGGCAGUCGAUGAACUUAGCUUGCUAAGUUUGAUGGCGACCGGCGCACGGGUGAGUAACACGUAUCCAACCUGCCGAUGACUCGGGGGAUAGCCUUUCGAAAGAAAGAUUAAUACCCGAUGGCAUAAUUCUUCCGCAUGGUAGAAUUAUUAAAGAAUUUCGGUCAUCGAUGGGGAUGCGUUCCAUUAGGUUGUUGGCGGGGUAACGGCCCACCAAGCCUUCGAUGGAUAGGGGGGUUCUGAGAGGAAGGUCCCCCACAUUGGGAAC
rnacentral:rRNA from 1 species